UACGAAGGGGGCUAGCGUUGCUCGGAAUCACUGGGCGUAAAGCGCACGUAGGCGGCUUGCUAAGUCAGGGGUGAAAUCCUGGAGCUCAACUCCAGAACUGCCUUUGAUACUGGCGACCUUGAGGCCGGGAGAGGUGAGUGGAACUGCGAGUGUAGAGGUGAAAUUCGUAGAUAUUCGCAAGAACACCAGUGGCGAAGGCGGCUCACUGGCCCGGUACUGACGCUGAGACGCGAAAGCGUGGGGAGCGAACAGG
rnacentral:rRNA from 1 species